rnacentral:rRNA from 1 species
CGAACGCUGGCGGCGUGCUUAACACAUGCAAGUCGAACGGAAAGGCCCUGCUUUUGUGGGGUGCUCGAGUGGCGAACGGGUGAGUAACACGUGAGUAACCUGCCCUUGACUUUGGGAUAACUUCAGGAAACUGGGGCUAAUACCGGAUAGGAGCUCCUGCUGCAUGGUGGGGGUUGGAAAGUUUCGGCGGUUGGGGAUGGACUCGCGGCUUAUCAGCUUGUUGGUGGGGUAGUGGCUUACCAAGGCUUUGACGGGUAGCCGGCCUGAGAGGGUGACCGGCCACAUUGGGACUGAGAUACGGCCCAGACUCCUACGGGAGGCAGCAGUGGGGAAUAUUGCACAAUGGGCGGAAGCCUGAUGCAGCAACGCCGCGUGCGGGAUGACGGCCUUCAGGUUGUAAACCGCUUUCGCCUGUGACGAAGCGUGAGUGACGGUAAUGGGUAAAGAAGCACCGGCUAACUACGUG